ACUAGGGAUUCCUGAUGCCAUGUAAUAGAAGCUGGGCUGGUUAACACUAACUUGAACUUAAUCUGAACUUCAGGUGUCACAAAUGCCUUAGAAUAACAUGAAGAAGAUUAUUAAAAUAAGUGGGAGAUUGAAAUCUUGGAUUUGAUUUAUCAUAAGUGUCCUGCCACCCAUCCAAAAAUGUAUCCCUAAAGCAGGCCCAGAAAACAUUCCAUUCAUUAGGGCUUUUGAGAUAUACAUUGUAUUCAAAGCUCUGACAUAUUUCAAAAGGGUUGUACUGGUUGUUCUUUGCAGGUUGUUCGAGAAGCUGAAAUAGAAAUCAAUUUCUUGAUUUCAGUAGGAAUAGUGAGUCCCUAAGAGGGGAGAAGCCAGUGUUUUAGAGCAUGGGGACGACAUAUUACACUUGUAUUUUACUUAACAGGAUUCAACUAUAUGUAUCCAGGACAAAAAAAAAAUGAAGUGAAAUAAUGAAGAAAAUAAUUUUUUUUUUUUUAACCAGCCACUCUACUCAAGGGGCAUAUAUUUUGGCAUGAGGUUGGGAUAGAGGAUAGGUCAUUGCUGUAACUUCAAUCUCAGUUACUCUCAGGGCUCACAUGAUGUGAACAUUUUGCUCUGUGAUUGUAGCAUUUGAAGCCACGUAUUUUUUGGUGCCACAUUGCCAAGUAAAUGUUUUAUCUGUUGAACAAGUUAGAAAACAUUAAACUCUUUAAGCUGGAGUAAACCUCA
rnacentral:lncRNA from 10 species